GACGAACGCUGGCGGCGUGCUUAACACAUGCAAGUCGAACGGUAAGGCCCUUCGGGGUACACGAGUGGCGAACGGGUGAGUAACACGUGGGUGAUCUGCCCUGCACUUCGGGAUAAGCCUGGGAAACUGGGUCUAAUACCGGAUAGGACCACUGCCUGCAUGGGUGGUGGUGGAAAGCUUUUGCGGUGUGGGAUGGGCCCGCGGCCUAUCAGCUUGUUGGUGGGGUGAUGGCCUACCAAGGCGACGACGGGUAGCCGGCCUGAGAGGGUGACCGGCCACACUGGGACUGGGAUACGGCCCAGACUCCUACGGGAGGCAGCAGUGGGGAAUAUUGUACAAUGGGCGCAAGCCUGAUGCAGCGACGCCGCGUGAGGGAUGACGGCCUUCGGGUUGUAAACCUCUUUCAGCACCGACGAAGCGCAAGUGACGGUAGGUGCAGAAGAAGGACCGGCCAACUACGUGCCAGCAGCCGCCGUAACAC
rnacentral:rRNA from 1 species